rnacentral:rRNA from 1 species
GAUGAACGCUGGCGGCGUGCCUAAUACAUGCAAGUCGAGCGAACAGAUGAGGAGCUUGCUCCUCUGACGUUAGCGGCGGACGCGUGAGUAACACGUGGAUAACCUACCUAUAAGACUGGGAUAACUUCGGGAAACCGGAGCUAAUACCGGAUAAUAUAUUGAACCGCAUGGUUCAAUAGUGAAAGACGGUUUUGCUGUCACUUAUAGAUGGAUCCGCGCCGCAUUAGCUAGUUGGUAAGGUAACGGCUUACCAAGGCAACUAUGCGUAGCCGACCGGAGGGGGUGAUCGGCCACACUGGAACUGAGACACGGUCCAGACUCCUACGGGAGGCAGCAGUAGGGAAUCUUCCGCAAUGGGCGAAAGCCUGACGGAGCAACACCGCGUGAGUGAUGAAGGUCUUCGGAUCGUAAAACUCUGUUAUUAGGGAAGAACAAAUGUGUAAGUAACUAUGCACGUCUUGACGGUACCUAAUCAGAAAGCCACGGCUAACUACGUG